GAUGAACGCUGGCGGCGUGCCUAAUACAUGCAAGUCGAGCGAACGGACGAGAAGCUCGCUUCUCUGAUGUUAGCGGCGGACGGGUGAGUAACACGUGGAUAACCUACCUAUAAGACUGGGAUAACUUCGGGAAACCGGAGCUAAUACCGGAUAAUAUUUUGAACCGCAUGGUUCAAAAGUGAAAGACGGUCUUGCUGUCACUUAUAGAUGGAUCCGCGCUGCAUUAGCUAGUUGGUAAGGUAACGGCAUACCAAGGCAACGAUGCAUAGCCGACCUGAGAGGGUGAUCGGCCACACUGGAACUGAGACACGGUCCAGACUCCUACGGGAGGCAGCAGUAGGGAAUCUUCCGCAAUGGGCGAAAGCCUGACGGAGCAACGCCGCGUGAGUGAUGAAGGUCUUCGGAUCGUAAAACUCUGUUAUUAGGGAAGAACAUAUGUGUAAGUAACUGUGCACAUCUUGACGGUACCUAAUCAGAAAGCCACGGCUAACUACGUG
rnacentral:rRNA from 1 species